rnacentral:rRNA from 1 species
UACGAAGGGGGCUAGCGUUGCUCGGAAUUACUGGGCGUAAAGGGCGCGUAGGCGGAUAUUUAAGUUAGAGGUGAAAGCCCAGGGCUCAACCCUGGAAUAGCCUUUAAUACUGGAUAUCUUGAGUUCGGGAGAGGUGAGUGGAACUCCGAGUGUAGAGGUGAAAUUCGUAGAUAUUCGCAAGAACACCAGUGGCGAAGGCGGCUCACUGGCCCGGUACUGACGCUGAGGUGCGAAAGCGUGGGGAGCAAACAGG